UUUUAGGUCACAUAUAAAAGGGAAGUGAACUGACAGCAUUUCCUGUGCUGCUGUCCUAGACAUAUAAGAGAUUAAAAAACCCUCGAUGAUCAGCGCUGAGCUGACUGCUGAGACAUGAGGACCUGAUGUAGAACUUCCUUGGAGGAUCUACAUAGUUUUUCUACAGUGCUCCAGCACACCAAAUGAGCUGCCAACACCCAACAGUCGCUACACAACUGCGUUUGCGGCAAACCCGAUGUGAAGCAAUGAUGAAUAUUAAUGUCCACCUCAGAUCAACUCAACAAAACUGAGUCAAUGUGAACAUGAGAACGUCAACCAUGGAGAGUCCUUCUACAAACUCGGUCCAAAGACUUCUCGUCUUCCUUCUGUGUCUCCUGCUUCUUCAUCACCCUUCACUGGCUUACUCCCUGAAAAACUGCACCUUUGAUUUUACUGAGGGAACUUUGGCUGAAGUUCAUCUGAAUUGCUCAAAGCGCCAACUUGUCUCUGUUCCUGAUGACAUCCCCAGAGAUGCUAACUCACUAACUCUCUAUGACAAUCAGAUCAAACAGAUCCAAAGAGGUGAUUUUGGGAACCUCUCACAGUUAAGUUUGCUGAACCUAGAUAGGAAUUUGAUUGCUCAUGUAGAUGAUGGAUCUUUCAUGUAUUUGGUGGCAUUGAAAGAACUCUACAUGGUGGAUAAUUAUCUCACACAUCUGACGAGCAGUGUCUUUCAGGGACUGUCGAACCUCACUGAGCUGGACCUCAAAUACAACAGAAUUACUUUUAUCCAUGACUCAGCCUUUCUCUUCCUGACCAGUUUACAAACUGUCAUCCUAGACUCCAACAGGUUACAAACUGUGAGUGACAUACAGCCGAUUCUGAAUCUACCACAGCUACAGAAACUGAGCAUUGCAUUUAAUCUGUUCUCCACCUUUGCGUCUAAAGAUCUGAAUCUGAACGUGUCCUCAAGCCUGAGAGAGUUGGUUGUUGAAGGUAAUCACCUCAGAAAAUUCAGCAUCACUACGCCUAUCUUCCCUCAUCUUCAGGAAAUCAACCUUUGCCCAUGUGGUCAGUCCUCUCCAUUUCAAUGGGACAUCCCUGAUAAGUCUUUACUGAGGAACAUAACUCGAAUGGAUUUAAGUCACUCAUAUGCUUUUGAAAACAUUGAAAAAGUCCUGCAGAGUCUCGACUCACUGCAACGAUUAAAACUUAAUUUCAUGGAGAGAUGGAUAGAAAAGGAUCUUUUAGCAACAGUCUGUAAAAUACCAACACUUCAGAGCCUGGAUCUGUCGUUCAAUCUUGAUCCAAACUUAAGUGCCACACUUGGAGCUUGCUCUCAGCUUAAGGAGCUUUACCUGACUAGUACUGGUAUAUCUAAGAUACCAAAAGGCUCAAUGGCAAUGAUGAAGCAACUAAGGUCUUUAGAUCUUUCCUUAAAUAUUCUCACCAAGGUGCCAGAAGACAUCAGAAGCCUCUCCUCCCUCAGGGUCCUCAGACUUGUAUUCAACCAAAUCUCUGAGUUGAGCUGUGAGGAUUUUCAAAACACAUCCAGUCUCAGGGAGCUCUUCCUGACUAAAAACCGAAUUGUGAAACUUGACAGGUGUGUUUUCCAAAAUCUUUACAGUCUUGAGGUUUUAGAUUUGAGCUGGAACAGGAUAUCGACAUUAGGAGGCGCCUUCAAAAAAGGCCCACCAAACCUUGAGAUCUUGAAUUUAAGGAAUAAUUUUGUUGUUACUAUUGACAAGGGUGAUUUUAAAGGUUUAGGGUCACUAAAACAGUUAGAUUUAAAAACUCAUGAAAUAUCAUAUGUAGACUUUGGAGCAUUUGCUGGUUUAAACAACGUUACAACUCUUUUCGUGUCUCUUCCAGUUUUUUUUGAUACUACAUUCCAGGUUUUACAACAAAUCACAAAUCUUACUAUCACUUUCCCUCUCACCCAAUCAGACUUCACUUUACACAGUCAUCAUCAAAACUUCAACAAAUCAUUCUUUGAAUUUAAAUCACUGAAGAAGCUCAAAAUGAUUUGCUCAGAUGAUCAUCUAGGAUUCCGUCUUAGUUCAGACAUACAGAUGAUUCAGUCUGCCAAACAUUUAGAGAAAUUCACAGCUGAGAAUUUAGUUCCUUGGACACCAAAUAAUGAUACAUUCAAGUUCAACUCCAAGCUGAGAAGUUUGACAAUCACACGGAACGACUUGUCUGAUUUGGGUCCUGAACUCUUCUGGCCAAUCCCAAACCUGGAAGAAGUGGACCUCUCUAGCACUAAACUCAAGUCUUUAGAUUUUCUGGCCCAGGCCAACCUGUCUGCACUCAAAUAUUUGCAUCUCAGUGACAAUGGUAUAACAGUGAUCAGUGAAACCAUCUUCCAGUCUCUUCCUGCUCUUCUGUACCUUGACCUGAGGAACAACCCUUUGACAUGUGACUGCUCUAACGCUGGCUUCAUCCAGUGGGUGAAGAGCAACAACCAAACUCUUGUAGAUGGCGCCCAUGACUACAUCUGUUCCUCUCCUCUGAUCAAACAGGGAACCAAGGUGUUGGACUUUGAUGUCCAGUCCUGUUGGAUGGACGUUGGCUUCCUCUGCUAUAUCUCCAGCUCUUGUCUGGUGGUGUUAACUCUCCUCACCUCUUUCAUCUACCACUUCCUGAGGUGGCAGAUGGUCUAUGCCUUCCUCCUCUUCCAGGCCUUCCUUUAUGACAGCAGGAAGAGGAGGAGAGGAGCCCCUCACCUCUACGAUGCCUUCAUCUCCUACAAUGUUGAGGAUGAGGCCUGGGUCUACAGAGAGAUGCUUCCAGUGCUGGAGGGAGAGCAGGGCUGGAGACUGUGUCUGCACCACAGAGACUUCCAACCAGGUAAACCUAUCAUAGAGAACAUCACAGACGCCAUCUACAGCAGCAGGAAGACCAUCUGUGUGAUCAGCCGGAGCUACCUGCAGAGCGAGUGGUGCUCCAGAGAGAUCCAGAUGGCCAGUUUCCGUCUGUUUGAUGAGAAGAAGGACGUGUUGAUCCUGCUGUUUCUGGAGGAGAUCCCCUCUCAUCAGCUGUCUCCGUACCACCGCAUGAGGAAGCUGGUGAAGAAACGCACCUACCUGUGCUGGCCGCAGGCUGGACGACACAAGGGAGUCUUCUGGCAGAACGUCUGGAGGGCUCUGGAGACGGGAGAGUCCACCAGAGACAACAUGAAUCCUCUGACUGGACCAGAGGGAUGCUGAGAACAUUCCUGAACCUGUGAGCUGAAAAUCAAAGAGAUGUGUUUGAUGCUAGUGGAGACUUUUAAUAUAAAAGGAUCAGACAAUGAAAAUAAAAACCAAGCAUCUUGAGCAUCUUGAGUUGUUUCAGCUAUUGUGGGUUUCCCCUGUUGUUUUUCUGGUAGUGGCUUUUCCACAAUACCAGUUUGCUGAGUGCAAUAAAUAAUCCAUGAGAGUCACUCUAGCAAAUGUUUAUGUGUACAUUCAGAGAGGUCCAUUCACUCAUUCUGUCUGUUCACACUGACAACUCAACACUGGACUAAAUAGACCAUCAGACCACCAAAUGAUGUCCUUGUGCUCCUGAUGUACAGCCAACACCUUAAGAUAGAGCAACUCAGAGUUGUUAACAGUUAAAGACACAGCACUGAGGACAACUUUAAUUCAAGAAUAAGAAUAACAUGCAACACUGUGGUGUUUUAAGUUGUAUUCUGUGUAUUAUUUUGGUUACUUCCGGUUUCCGGAGUAUCGUGCUGGCUGCUAACUUUACUCUGCUCUCCCUGAGGCAUCCACCCCUCCCCCCUGGUGCUGUGGAGAGUCACACCUGCAGCAAAUCACUCAUUUGACGGACACUACUUAAGAUCGGCUGCAGCUCUCUACAGCGCCUGAGUCUUGCAGAACUUACCUCACGUGCCUCCAGCCCAGAUCACCGCAGCCAGCACCAGCGCACUCUCUCACUCACCUGGACUCUUGGAAUCCCCCCUCCCUUAUUCACUUACCUGCACAAUAAAACUGUUCAAACCUGCUCCUCCGUUUCCGCAUUCUGGGUCCAACCACACUACCGCACAUAACACAACACAUGUUAAAUUAAAAGCCCACAACCACUGAUUUCACUACUUUCAAAUGUUUAAAUGCAAACAAAACUUAAUUUUAGGCCCAAGUCUUUUUCUAAGGUCAUCUGAGGACAUGAAAAAUAUUACAGCGUAUUCUCUUAGUCAAAUCUGUCUGUAGUACUUCUUCUCCCAUAGAUUAUCUCUAAAUAAUCUCUGAUUGGGUCUUCACUUCUGGACAUGUUUAAAUGGGGUCUUGUACCUUUAAAGUUUGUUAAAUAUGGUGGGGCCCAGAAGUGAUCCAUGUGGAACACCUUCAGAACAAAUUGUAACCCCCUGAGACUGAUGUUGUCAUAUGGGACAAGAAGAGACACAGGUUAAAAAGCUCAAAAGCUUUCCGGGGUCUUUACAGAUUCAAUCCACACAGCAGUAAAUCCAAUAUUGAAAGUCUUUCAAUCCUUUUUUGAUCGUUUCUGCUGCUAGCAGCUAAUGCUAGCCACUAUGCUGUCUAUUUUCUAUCCACCCAUGCACUGUAAGCAAGCUGACAACCAAUGGCAGGCUGUUCUAUUAUUGCAUCAUGCUUUGUAAAAAUCUAUGUUUUUACACUAACAUCAUGAAGAAGACGGCCUGAAUAACUCAUAAUGGAGAGAAAGAGAGACAGAGAGCCUGUGACGUGGCCCUCUGUGUCUCUGCAGACAGGAACUGCUUUGAAUAAUGGCACUGGUAAAGCAAACACAAAAAAAGUGGAAGGACUCUUUUUUGUAAAUAUGUGAAUAUUUUUCAGAUGUUUUGUCACAGAUUGAUUAUUUCUUCACUGUUUGGUCCCAAAAAGAUGGGAGAACACGUCUGUAAAAAAAAAAUCUCAGUCAUUGUUGUUCAGUGUGUGUCACACAUAAAAAACUUUGUUUUAAUUUCCGUUCAGUUUAGUAUUUUUGUCUAUAUAGUCACAUAACUGUUUUUCAUGAUUCUGAAAGCUCAGGUUGUCCAGAGAUAAAGAAUGUUUAGAUCUUGACCGUGCUCCACAGUUUUGAUGUUUUACAAACUUUGAAAGACAAAAAGUCAAGGAGAGACAAAAUGGAGAGAAAGCAGCUCAGGGCUCAGAGGGUUGAGAAGACCUGCUGGAAUAAUGU